AUUCCUUCCGAAAGUUGUGCAGAGCAGUCUUAUGUCGCUGCUCGCCAUCCCGUUCAUCGCAGUGGUGGUGUUUCUGUUGGUCUGGAAGAUGAAAUCUAGAAGAAAUGCCCCACAAACUGAACGGAGUCCAGAAGAAGGUCCCGCCCUUUUCUCAGGAGAGGAAGCCAAUAUACCCCCAUUAGAUGUGGAGAUAUCUGAAAAAAAUGGAUUAAAUAUUAUCAUGGCAGUGUAAAUCCAGCCCCAGCUUAACCAACGCAGUCACUCCUUCAGAUGGCACAACGGACUGGAACAAACAAGCACCACCAACGAAAGAUUCUCUUACCGAACUUCUAGUUGUGAAGGAAGGAAUCAUACUGGCCUGAGACG